rnacentral:lncRNA from 1 species
UCUGGAUAUUGGGAACUAUUGCUAGAUGGUAUCUCGAUUAGUAUAGGAAUUGGUUCUUGUGUUACCAGCUUAGUGUUUGAACCUAUGGAGUCACGCACACAAGUCAAACAAAGUAAGAAAAAAUUGACCUAUGUUUAUAUGUCCAAUCUGAAAGUACUUGAUUUGAUUAAACAUGUAAGCUAACUUGAUUGAGAAUUGAGUUAUGGGUCAAACG